rnacentral:rRNA from 1 species
UUAUGGCUCAGGAUGAACGCUGGCGGCGUGCCUAAUACAUGCAAGUCGUACGAAGGAGCUUGCUCCUUAGUGGCGAACGGGUGAGUAAUACAUAAAUAAUCUGCCUCAAUGUCUGGGAUAACUAUUGGAAACGAUAGCUAAUACCGGAUAGCUAAUCGGAAGACAUCUUCUGAUUACUAAAGGAGCGUUCGCUCCGCUUUGAGAUGAGUUUAUGGCGCAUUAGUUAGUUGGCGGGGUAAUGGCCCACCAAGACGAUGAUGCGUAGCCGAUCUGAGAGGAUGACCGGCCACACUGGGACUGAGACACGGCCCAGACUCCUACGGGAGGCAGCAGUAGGGAAUUUUCGGCAAUGGGCGAAAGCCUGACCGAGCAACGCCGCGUGAGUGAUGAAAGGCCUUCGGGUUGUAAAGCUCUGUUGUUAGGGAAGAAUGAUCAGGAUAGGAAAUGAUCUUGAAGUGACGGUACCUAACCAGAAAGCCACGGCUAACUACGUGCCAGCAGCCGC